UACGUAGGGGGCAAGCGUCGUCCGGAUUUAUUGGGCGUAAAGAGCGUGUAGGCGGCCAGGUAGGUCCGUUGUGAAAACUCGAGGCUCAACCUCGAGACGCCGAUGGAAACCAUCUGGCUAGAGUCCGGAAGAGGAGAGUGGAAUUCCUGGUGUAGCGGUGAAAUGCGCAGAUAUCAGGAAGAACACCCGUGGCGAAGGCGGCUCUCUGGGACGGUACUGACGCUGAGACGCGAAAGCGUGGGGAGCAAACAGG
rnacentral:rRNA from 1 species